UACGGAGGGUGCAAGCGUUGUUCGGAAUUAUUGGGCGUAAAGCGCGCGCAGGCGGCCUGGAAAGUCUAUGGGUGAAAUGGCCGGGGCUCAACCCCGUGCAUGCCCAGGAUACUGCCAGGCUGGAGACACGUAGAGGCAAGCGGAAUUCCGGGUGUAGCGGUGGAAUGCGAGAGAUCCGGAAGAACACCGGAGGCGAAGGCGGCUUGCUGGGCGGUGAUCGUGACGCUGAGGCGCAAAAGCGU
rnacentral:rRNA from 1 species